rnacentral:rRNA from 1 species
ACGCAUGUCUAGAGUUUGAAAGAUGGUUCUGCUAUCACUCUUGGAUGGACCUGCGGUGCAUUAGCUAGUUGGUAAGGUAACGGCUUACCAAGGCAAUGAUGCAUAGCCGAGUUGAGAGACUGGUCGGCCACAUUGGGACUGAGACACGGCCCAAACUCCUACGGGAGGCAGCAGUAGGGAAUCUUCCACAAUGGACGAAAGUCUGAUGGAGCAACGCCGCGUGAGUGAAGAAGGGUUUCGGCUCGUAAAGCUCUGUUGGUAGUGAAGAAAGAUAGAGGUAGUAACUGGCCUUUAUUUGACGGUAAUUACUUAGAAAGUCACGGCUAACUACGUGCCAGCAGCCGCGGUAAUACGUAGGUGGCAAGCGUUGUCCGGAUUUAUUGGGCGUAAAGCGAGUGCAGGCGGUUCAAUAAGUCUGAUGUGAAAGCCUUCGGCUCAACCGGAGAAUUGCAUCAGAAACUGUUGAACUUGAGUGCAGAAGAGGAGAGUGGAACUCCAUGUGUAGCGGUGGAAUGCGUAGAUAUAUGGAAGAACACCAGUGGCGAAGGCGGCUCUCUGGUCUGCAACUGACGCUGAGGCUCGAAAGCAUGGGUAGCGAACAGGAUUAGAUACCCUGGUAGUCCAUGCCGUAAACGAUGAGUGCUAAGUGUUGGGAGGUUUCCGCCUCUCAGUGCUGCAGCUAACGC